UAACGCGAAGAACCUUACCAGGUCUUGACAUUUUUUGCUAACCUAAGAGAUUAGGCGUUCCCUUCGGGGACGGAAUGACAGGUGGUGCAUGGUUGUCGUCAGCUCGUGUCGUGAGAUGUUGGGUUAAGUCCCGCAACGAGCGCAACCCUUAUUGUCAGUUGCCAGCAUUUAGUUGGGCACUCUGGCGAGACUGCCGGUGACAAACCGGAGGAAGGUGGGGAUGACGUCAAAUCAUCAUGCCCCUUAUGACCUGGGCUACACACGUGCUACAAUGGACGGUACAACGAGUCGCGAAACCGCGAGGUCAAGCUAAUCUCUUAAACCCGUCCUCAGUUCGGAUUGCAGGCUGCAACUCGCCUGCAUGAAGCAGGAAUCGCUAGUAAUCGCCGGUCAGCC
rnacentral:rRNA from 1 species